rnacentral:lncRNA from 1 species
AGCUGCAGCAGAAGAGCGGAAAUGUCAAACGUGGAGGGCUGUGCCUGGCUGCUCCUGAGAAAACUGGAAGAUGGUGUGCCAUGUCAGAUCACGAGGCCACGAAGUGCACCAGUUUCCGAGACAAUAUGAAAAAAGUGUUUCCAGCAGAUGGUCCCCUUGUCACCUGCGUGGAGAGAGCGUCUUCCCUUGAGUACAUUAAAGCCAUCACAGAACAUUUUGGAAAAGACAAGUCGUCAGAAUUUCAGCUCUUUGGCUCUCCUCAUGAGACAGAUCUGCUGUUUACUGAUGCUGCCCAUGGGUUUUUAAUGGUCCCACCUAAGAUAGAUGCCAAGCUGUACCUGGGAUAUGAGUAUUUUUCCGCGACUCAGGAUCCAAAAAGAGUCACUCCAGGAGGGGUUCCACUGCCACCAUUUAACUGAAGAAAAAUUUAGGCUCCUAGAUGAUAAGGACGUGUCUGAGGUCACCUAAGAAGGACAAGACGGACCUUCCAUCUGCCAUGUUGACUCCCAACUUCUCCAAGUUUGAAUUUGUAGAGACCUGAUCUACAACACAGAGAAAAGG